rnacentral:rRNA from 1 species
GUGCACGCUGGCGGUCGGCCUAACCCCUGCACGUCGAACGGCAGCACAGUAAGAGCUUGCUCUUACGGGUGGCGAGUGGCGGACGGGUGAGGAAUACAUCGGAAUCUACUUUUUUGGGGGGGGUAAAGGAGGGAAACUUACGCUAAUACCGCAUACGACCUACGGGUGAAAACAGGGGGUCUUCGGACCUUGCGCGGUUGAAUGAAGCGAUGGCGGAUUAGCUAGUUGGCGGGGGAAAGGCCCACCAAGGCGACGAUCCGUAGCUGGUCUGAGAGGAUGAUCAGCCACACUGGAACUGAGACACGGUCCAGACUCCUACGGGAGGCAGCAGUGGGGAAUAUUGGGCAAUGGGCGCAAGCCUGAUCCAGCCAUACCGCGUGGGUGAAGAAGGCCUUCGGGUUGUAAAGCCCUUUUGUUGGGAAAGAAAAGCAGCAGGUUAAUACCCCGCUGUUCUGACGGUACCCAAAGAAUAAGCACCGGCUAACUUCGUG